rnacentral:rRNA from 1 species
GAGUUUGAUCCUGGCUCAGAUUGAACGCUGGCGGCAUGCUUUACACAUGCAAGUCGAACGGUAACGCGGGGGCAACCCUGGCGACGAGUGGCGAACGGGUGAGUAAUACAUCGGAACGUGUCCUGGAGUGGGGGAUAGCUCGGCGAAAGCCGGAUUAAUACCGCAUACGCUCUGAGGAGGAAAGCGGGGGACCUUCGGGCCUCGCGCUGCGGGAGCGGCCGAUGUCGGAUUAGCUAGUUGGUGGGGUAAAGGCCUACCAAGGCGACGAUCCGUAGCUGGUCUGAGAGGACGGUCGGACACACUGACACUGAAUAACGGGUCAGACUCCUACGGGAGGCAGCAGUCGGGAAUUUUGGGCAAUGGGGAAACCCUGACCCAGCAACGCCGCGUGAAGGAUGAAGUAUUUCGGUAUGUAAACUUCGAAAGAAUAGGAAGAAUUAAUGACGGUACUAUUUAUAAGGUCCGGCUAACUACGUGCCAGCCGCCGCCGUAAU